AUUGAACGCUGGCGGCAUGCCUAACACAUGCAAGUCGAACGGCAGCGCGGGGGAGCUUGCUCCCUGGCGGCGAGUGGCGGACGGGUGAGUAAUACUUAGGAAUCUGCCCAGUAGUGGGGGACAACCCGGGGAAACCCGGGCUAAUACCGCGUAAUCUCUUCGGAGGAAAGAGGGCCUCUUCUUGAAAGCUCUCGCUAUUGGAUGAGCCUAAGUCGGAUUAGCUUGUUGGUGGGGUAAAAGCCACCAAGGCGACGAUCCGUAGCUGGUCUGAGAGGACGAUCAGCCACACUGGGACUGAGACACGGCCCAGACUCCUACGGGAGGCAGCAGUGGGGAAUAUUGGACAAUGGGGGCAACCCUGAUCCAGCAAUGCCGCGUGUGU
rnacentral:rRNA from 1 species